CAUGCCCCAGGGGGGGCAGGUGUGGCUGCUGUGUCACAUGAGUAUCAGUAGGUGGCAGAAAACAGAGAGGCUACAUCUAACUCAGUGUUCUGACCUGUGAACAUCUGAAUGAUUAGUAGUGUAACAUU